CACCUUUUAUGUUCAGGCAAAGGAUUGAACAGAAUGGAGGCAAUGGUGCUCAUGGAGAGCAGCACACAGAUGUUUGGAGCAGACACAGCAGCAGUCAUAUUGUCCCGCACAUGUUCUCCUUCUCUUGUUCAGGGUGGUGUGGUUCAGCGUCUUCAUCAUGGUCUUCCUCAUCCUCUCUGUGCACUCAGACAAGAACUCGAUGUCCCUCUCUCAUCAUGAUCAGAUUCAGUCUGACUGCAGCAGUGAGGGACCCGAUGGAAGGAUGUGGGUUCACUGUCUGUAAACAUUCAAAAACAGAAUAGUGUUUGAAUAAAGUUUUGUUUCAU